GACGCGCAGCCACCGUUCGGCUGCUGCCGAUUUUCUUGGAAGGGAUAGGUACGGCAAACACGUUGAUCUUCCUCGCAUACUUAUCCUUUCAGCCGAUUAUCUUGACGCGCACUUCUGCCAAAGCAAACAAACUUAUACGUAUCCGGUUAGCUCUCAAGGACUACAGAUGGGUCAAGGCCAUCGCCUAAGAGAAUCUUUGAUGCCUUGGUCGUUCCACAAUUCUUCUACUGAUUAUACGAGUAUUCGGAGAUGUAUAAAUACACGUCCGUCAGAUAGUCGGUACACGGGUAUUCAAAGAGUUACACCCACCGUACACAUAUCAUAGACGUAGACUUGGCUUUUCGAAAAGUAUACGUACCCACAUAAUCCUAACAUGCAUGCAAAGAACCCUGCCAAAUCACACAAAAGCUAGCUACAAAAGAACUAAAGUGUACGCAGUACGUG
rnacentral:lncRNA from 1 species